AGAGCAAGGUGUAGCCAAGGACAGACUUGCCGGCAAGAACGGCAAAUAAUCACGCAUGAUGUCUGUCUGUCUGUAUGUACAUACAUAUGCCGGCAAACGUCAACCGCCGCCGGCAAGUCAUCCUUGGCUGCAUCUCCUACUCUCU
rfam:Setaria italica strain Yugu1 chromosome VI, whole genome shotgun sequence.